UCACGGCACCGCGCUCGGCGGCGGCCUUGAACUCGCGCUCGGUGCGCAUUUCCGCGUUGCCACCAAGGACGCAAAGCUCGGUCUCCCCGAAGUGAAACUCGGUCUGUUGCCGGGCGCCGGUGGCACCCAGCGCCUGCCGCGCGCAGNUGAGUUUGCCGUGAAAAUGAUCGUGGGUGGGGAUCCGAUCGGUGCUGCCGAUGCUCUCAAGAAUGGUUUGAUCGACGAGGUCGUCGAUGGCGAGCCCGCCGUCGGCGGCGAAGCCUUCGCGCGCAAG
rnacentral:misc_RNA from 1 species